rnacentral:rRNA from 1 species
AUUGAACGCUGGCGGCAGGCCUAACACAUGCAAGUCGAGCGAAUGAGGGGAGCUUGCUCCCUGAUUUAGCGGCGGACGGGUGAGUAAUGCGUAGGAAGCUGCCCGAUAGAGGGGGAUACCAGUUGGAAACGACUGUUAAUACCGCAUAAUGUCUACGGACCAAAGUGUGGGACCUUCGGGCCACAUGCUAUCGGAUGCGCCUACGUGGGAUUAGCUAGUUGGUGAGGUAAUGGCUCACCAAGGCGACGAUCUCUAGCUGGUUUGAGAGGAUGUUCAGCCACACGGGAACUGAGACACGGUCCAGACUCCUACGGGAGGCAACAGUGGGGAAUAUUGGACAAUGGGCGCAAGCCUGAUCCAGCCAUGCCGCGUGUGUGAAGAAGGCCUUCGGGUUGUAAAGCACUUUCAGCGAGGAGGAAGGGUGGUGUGUUAAUAGCACAUCAUUUUGACGUUACUCGCAGAAGAAGCACCGGCUAACUCUGUGCCAGCCGCCGCAGUAAAAC